CCUACGGGUGGCAGCAGUGGGGAAUAUUGCACAAUGUGGGAAAGCCUGAUGCAGCGACGCCGCGUGAGGGAAGAAGGCCUUCGUGAUGUAAAGCUCUAUCAGCAGGGAAGAAAAUGACGGUAACUGAGUAAGAAGCCCCGGCUAACUACGUGCCAGUAGCCGCGGUAAUACGUAGGCGGCAAGCGUUAUCCGGAUUUACUGGGUGUAAAGGGAACGGAGACGGCAGUGCAAGGCUGGAGUGAAAGGCGGGGGCUCAACCCCCGGACUGCUCUGUAAACUGUACGGCUGGAGGGCAGGAGAGGUAAGUGGAAUUUCUAGUGUAGCGGUGAAAUGCGUAGAUAUUAGAAGGAACACCAGUGGCGAAGGCGGCUUACUGGACUGUAACUGACGUUGAGGCUCGAAAGCGUAGGGAGCAAACAGGAUUAGAUACCCCAGUAGUC
rnacentral:rRNA from 1 species